UACGAAGGGGGCUAGCGUUGCUCGGAAUCACUGGGCGUAAAGCGCACGUAGGCGGUUCGGUAAGUCGGGUGUGAAAACUUUGGGCUUAACCCAAAGACUGCACUCGAUACUGCUGUGACUUGAGUCCGGUAGGGGAGUGGGGAAUUCCUGGUGUAGCGGUGGAAUGCGCAGAUAUCAGGAGGAACACCGGUGGCGAAGGCGCCACUCUGGGCCGGUACUGACGCUGAGGAGCGAAAGCGUGGGGAGCGAACAGG
rnacentral:rRNA from 1 species